GCCAAAGGCCCCUGAGACAUGCAGGCCCACGCAAUGCUGCCUCAGGGCCCAGGUGACAAGAUGGAACACCAAUGGGGAGAAGGGCGUUCUUCACAUUUCUUCAAAGAGUCCUGCACCCAUCAGGCACCAGGGGGCUCAGGUCCCCCGCCCAGGGAGCCAUACUCAGAACAAGAGCAGCUGGGAGUCAAAGCACAUUUGGUUCACGUCCAAAGUAGCAUCCGACAGCCCUCCAGGAGGGGGCUCCCUGGGAGAAACCAGGUUGGCCAGGAGGCUCCAGCUAUCUGAGCUCCUCCCCCUGAAACUGAACUGAACUGAAGGUGUCUGGGGCUGUAGGGCAGCCUAGAAGCAGUGAGACCACCAGCGGCAGGCGUGGGGAGGGCAGACCCCACCUCUGUGCGCUUGCCACAUAGGUACAGACAGCGCCUGGGGGCUUCCUUCCAAGGUGGUGUGACUGCCCAUUAGCAAAAUGCGGCCAAGCGAAUGCCAAGUUCUGAUCAGUCAGGUCAGCAACUCCCCUCCCCCAGAAUGAGGAACACCCUCCUCCCAACAUCCCCUGGCUAAACCACCGUUCCCGCCUUCCGUGGGUUUCCAUGCUCUGCCCCCUCCCACUUGCUGUCCUGGCUGCUUCAGUUCAUCAACAUCCCCCCGAGAGUGUGGAGCCCAGAAUGGGUACCUUGUUCUCCCUUGUUUUGCUUGAAUGCAGGAAAUAAAUCUCCG
rnacentral:lncRNA from 1 species